rfam:Ornithorhynchus anatinus chromosome 4, whole genome shotgun sequence.
CCUCUCUCAGGGUCGCAUCUGGAGAGUUUUCAGUACUCUACCAGUCUUGGCUGUGGGAGGGAGAGCCAAGCACUUGCCUAUCCAGUCCAUUCCUAGCUUGGGCAGUGGCUAGUGAGUGGAAGGCCAUCUGCUACAAGU